rnacentral:rRNA from 1 species
UCAGGCCUACGGGGGGCAGCAGUAGGGAAUCUUCCACAAUGGACGAAAGUCUGAUGGAGCAACGCCGCGUGAGUGAAGAAGGGUUUCGGCUCGUAAAGCUCUGUUGGUAGGGAAGGAAGAUAGAGGUAGUAACUGGCCUUUAUUUGACGGUUAUUACUUAGAAAGUCACGGCUAACUACGUGCCAGCAGCCGCGGUAAAACGUAGGUGGCAAGCGUUGUCCGGAUUUAUUGGGCGUAAAGAGAGUGCAGGCGGUUCAAUAAGUGU